rnacentral:lncRNA from 1 species
UUUUUUACCGUGGCUUUUCGCAGGGCUUUGAUUCUAACCUUUUACUGAGCAUUAUUUCACAAUGUAACACUUUAUUAUUCAAUAAUUCAAUAAAAAAUCUAUUCAAUUUAUUGUAACAAAAGUCAGAAUUCUAACAACUUUUUAUGAAUGUAAUACAUAAAGUCAGAGCACAGAACAUAAUAGUAAGAUCUAAAUUUCUUAAAAACAUUAUUUGAUCUGGGCCAUCACACCUUAGAUAUAAGUGAUGGCUAUGCUAACAGAAAUGCAUACAUUUUUAAAGGGGCAUUAGCUGAAAAAUUCGUGUUCACCCAUUUUGACUAAAAUUUCUCAGAUUUGAUUUAUAACAUACUAAAACGUAUAUUUAAAUUACCUAUGUCCAAAAGAAAAAAUAAAAUGAUACAUAGACUCAUAAUAAUGUAUCAGCAUUUUGUGCUAUUUAAACUUGAAUCCAUUUAAUUAUUCAUGGAGAUGAUCUUUAAAGACUGCCCAUGGUCAUAUAAUAAGAUAUAAAUAGACGGGUAGCAGUGACACGCUAAUGGACAAAGAUGAUUUUUGUUGGUCUGUUUGAUUUUAAGUUGUAGAAAAUGUAUGUAUAUCUAUAUUAGUGAUUUACCAAAAUUACAAUGAUUUUUAGGCUGGAUCACUUAAUGUAAUGGCUAUUCCUGAUAAGGUUGAAAUAUUGGCUUGCAAGCCAAUAAAACAUGAACAUUGUUUUAAGCAUAUUUUCACAAAAUUGAACCAAUCUUAUUGCUAACAGCUAAUAUCAUUCUUGUUUUCCCUUUAAUAGAUAUUUGAAACAAAAAAAUUGUUGCUUAUGCCCCUCUAACAAAAAGAAAUUAUGAACUUUGUAAAUAUGAUAUAAUUUCAUAUAUAUUGCACAUUAUAAGAUCUAAGGAAAUAUAAGCACUGUUGCUCCAAAAUUUCGAACCAUUUUUAUAAAUUCUCAGGUUUAUAUCUAUCUUACUGGUAAAUGUCCAACUAGAAAAGAAAAACAUUGGACUUUU